rnacentral:misc_RNA from 1 species
ACAAGUGGGGUGCAAGCCGUGAGGGGUUCUCGUCUGUAGUGGACGAAAGCCGGGUGCACGACAACAAGCAAAGCCAGACACACUAUUGGGUCCUGAGGCAACACUCGGGCUCUGUUCGAGAGUUGUCCCACCAUCUUGGUGGUGGGGUGUGGUGUUUGAGAAU